rnacentral:rRNA from 1 species
CCUACGGGUGGCAGCAGUGGGGAAUAUUGCACAAUGGGGGAAACCCUGAUGCAGCGACGCCGCGUGAGUGAGGAAGUAUUUCGGUAUGUAAAGCUCUAUCAGCAGGGAAGAAAAUGACGGUACCUGACUAAGAAGCCCCGGCUAACUACGUGCCAGCAGCCGCGGUAAUACGUAGGGGGCAAGCGUUAUCCGGAUUUACUGGGUGUAAAGGGAGCGUAGACGGUUAAUCAAGUCAGAAGUGAAAACCCAGGGCUCAACCUUGGGACUGCUUUUGAAACUGCCUGACUGGAGUGCUGGAGAGGCAAGCGGAAUUCCGAGUGUAGCGGUGAAAUGCGUAGAUAUUAGGAAGAACACCAGUGGCGAAGGCGGCUUGCUGGACAGUAACUGACGUUGAGGCUCGAAAGCGUGGGGAGCAAACAGGAUUAGAUACCCCUGUAGUC